GACGAACGCUGGCGGCGUGCCUAACACAUGCAAGUCGAACGGAGCUUUUAUGGAAUGCGACUUCGGUCAAAUGAAGUUUAAGCUUAGUGGCGGACGGGUGAGUAACGCGUGAGCAACCUGCCUUUUCAGAGGGGGGACAACAGUUGGAAACGACUGCUAAAUACCGCAUAACGUACAUUUAAGGCAUCUUUAUGUACCAAAGAUUUAUCGCUGAAAGAUGGGCUCGCGUCCGAUUAGGUAGUUGGUGGGGUAAUGGCCUACCAAGCCGACGAUCGGUAGCCGGACUGAGAGGUUGAACGGCCACAUUGGGACUGAGACACGGCCCAAACUCCUACGGGAGGCAGCAGUGGGGAAUAUU
rnacentral:rRNA from 1 species